UACGUAGGGGGCAAGCGUUGUCCGGAAUCAUUGGGCGUAAAGCGCGCGUAGGCGGCCCGGUAAGUCCGCUGUAAAAGUCCAGGGCUCAACCCUGGAAAGCCGGUGGAUACUGUCGGGCUAGAGUCCGGAAGAGGCGAGUGGAAUUCCCGGUGUAGUGGUGAAAUGCGCAGAUAUCGGGAAGAACACCCGUGGCGAAGGCGGCUCUCUGGGACGGUACUGACGCUGAGACGCGAAAGCGUGGGAAGCGAACAGG
rnacentral:rRNA from 1 species